rnacentral:rRNA from 1 species
AACGAACGCUGGCGGCGUGCCUAACACAUGCAAGUCGAACGAGAAAGGGGCUUCGGCUCCGAGUAAAGUGGCGCACGGGUGAGUAACACGUGGGUAACCUGCCUCUAAGGUUGGGAUAACUCGUCGAAAGAUGAGCUAAUACCGGAUAAGACCACAGUUCCCGCGGGAACAGGGGUCAAAGGUAGCCUCUGCUUGCAAGCUAUCACUUAGAGAUGGGCCUGCGCACCAUUAGCGAGUUGGUAGGGUAACGGCCUACCAAGGCAAAGAUGGUUAGCUGGUCUGAGAGGAUGAUCAGCCAAACUGGAACUGAGACACGGUCCAGACUCCUACGGGAGGCAGCAGUGGGGAAUAUUGCGCAAUGGGCGAAAGCUUGUCGCAGCAACGCCGCGUGAGUGAUGAAGGCCUUCGGGUCGUAAAGCUCUGUCGGGAGGAACGAAUGCUCCCAAGGUUAACAGCCUCGGGAGGUGACGGUACCUUCAAAGGAAGCACCGGCUAACUCUGUGCCAGCCGCCGCCGUAAUAC